GACGAACGCUGGCGGCGUGCUUAACACAUGCAAGUCGAACGGAAAGGCCCUGCUUUUGUGGGGUGCUCGAGUGGCGAACGGGUGUGUAACACGUGAGUAACCUGCCCUUGACUUUGGGAUAACUUCAGGAAACUGGGGCUAAUACCGGAUAGGAGCUCCUGCUGCAUGGUGGGGGUUGGAAAGUUUCGGCGGUUGGGGAUGGACUCGCGGCUUAUCAGCUUGUUGGUGGGGUAGUGGCUUACCAAGGCUUUGACGGGUAGCCGGCCUGAGAGGGUGACCGGCCGCAUUGGGACUGAGAUACGGCCCAGACUCCUACGGGAGGCAGCAGUGGGGAAUAUUGCACAAUGGGCGGAAGCCUGAUGCAGCAACGCCGCGUGCGGGAUGACGGCCUUCGGGUUGUAAACCGCUUUCGCCUGUGACGAAGCGUGAGUGACGGUAAUGGGUAAAGAAGCACCGGCUAACUACGUG
rnacentral:rRNA from 1 species